CCUACGGGAGGCAGCAGUAGGGAAUUUUCCACAAUGGGCGAAAGCCUGAUGGAGCAAUACCGCGUGCAGGAUGAAGGCCUUCGGGUCGUAAACUGCUUUUAUGUGCGAAGAAUUUGACGGUAACACAUGAAUAAGGAUCGGCUAACUACGUGCCAGCAGCCGCGGUCAUACGUAGGAUCCAAGCGUUAUCCGGAAUUACUGGGCGUAAAGAGUUGCGUAGGUGGCAUUAUAAGUGGAGCGUGAAAGCGUGCGGCUCAACCGCAUUAUUGCGUUCCAAACUGUGAAGCUUGAGUAUGGGAGAGGUAGAUGGAAUUUCUAGUGUAGGAGUGAAAUCCGUAGAUAUUAGAAGGAACACCGAUGGCGUAGGCAGUCUACUGGCCCAUUACUGACACUAAGGCACGAAAGCGUGGGGAGCAAACGGGAUUAGAUACCCCGGUAGUCCACGCUGUAAACUAUGGAUGCUAGCUGUGACACACAUCGACCUGUGUCGUAGCGAAGUUAACGCGUUAAGCAUCCCGCCUGGGGAGUACGGUCGCAAGAAUUAAAACUUAAAUUGAAAUUGACGG
rnacentral:rRNA from 1 species